rnacentral:rRNA from 1 species
CACGUAGGGUGCGAGCGUUGUCCGGAAUUAUUUGGCGUAAAGAGCUCGUAGGCGGUGUGUCGCGUCGGCCGUGAAAACUUGGGGCUUAACUCUGAGCUUGCGGUCGAUACGGGCAUCACUGGAGUUCGGCAGGGGAGACUGGAAUUCCUGGUGUAGCGGUGAAAUGCGCAGAUAUCAGGAGGAACACCGGUGGCGAAGGCGGGUCUCUGGGCCGAUAUUGACGCUGAGGAGCGAAAGCGUGGGGAGCGAACAGG